rnacentral:rRNA from 1 species
CAUGAUUUCCCUAGUAACGGCGAGUGAAGAGGAAAGAGCUCAAAGUUGGAACCUGUUUGGCUUAGCUAAACCGGAUUGUAAACUGUAGAAACGUUUUCCUGGCACGCCAGAUAAAUAAGUCCUUUGGAACAGGGCAUCAUAGAGGGUGAGAAUCCCGUCUUUGGUCUGAGCUGUUGUCUUUUGUGAUACGUUUUCAAAGAGUCAGGUUGUUUGGGAAUGCAGCCUAAAUUGGGUGGUAAAUCUCACCUAAAGCUAAAUAUUUGCGAGAGACCGAUAGCGAACAAGUACCGUGAGGGAAAGAUGAAAAGAACUUUGAAAAGAGAGUUAAACAGUAUGUGAAAUUGUUAAAAGGGAACCGUUUGGAGCCAGACUGGCUUGAUCGUAAUCAAUCUAGGUUUCGACCUGGAUGCACUUGCGGUCUAUGCCUGCCAACGACAGUUCUUUCUGAAGGAUAAAACUAGGAGGAAUGUGGCCCCUCGGGGUGUUAUAGCCUCUUAGAUAAUACUUUGGAUGGGACUGAGGAACGCAGUGAAUGCUUAUGGCGAAAUUGCUAGGCGCUUUUGUUGAUAGAUGUUAGAAUUUCUACUUCGGGUAGUGCUGAUGUCUAAAGGUAAAACUCGUUUGGUUAAUUUUCUAUUCACUUAGGUUGUUGGCUUAAUGACUCUAAAUGACCCGUCUUGAAACACGGACCAAGGAGUCCACCAUUAGUGCGAGUAUUUGGGUGCCAAACCCAUAUGCGUAAGGAAACUGAUUGAUACGAAACCGCAAGGUGGCAGUAUCACCCGGCGUUGACGUUUUAUACUGAACUGACCGAGGUUAAGCACUAAUGAUGGGACCCGAAAGAUGGUGAACUAUGCCUGAAUAGGGUGAAGCCGGAGGAAACUCCGGUGGAGGCUCGUAGCGAUUCUGACGUGCAAAUCGAUCGUCAAAUUUGGGUAUAGGGGCGAAAGACUAAUCGA